UCCAGACUCCUACGGGAGGCAGCAGUGGGGAAUAUUGGGCAAUGGGCGCAAGCCUGACCCAGCAACGCCGCGUGAAGGAAGAAGGCUUUCGGGUUGUAAACUUCUUUUAAGAGGGAAGAGCAGAAGACGGUACCUCUUGAAUAAGCCACGGCUAACUACGUGCCAGCAGCCGCGGUAAUACGUAGGUGGCAAGCGUUGUCCGGAUUUACUGGGUGUAAAGGGCGUGUAGCCGGGCUGACAAGUCAGAUGUGAAAUUCCGGGGCUCAACCCCGGACCUGCAUUUGAAACUGUUUCCCUUGAGUGUCGGAGAGGUAAUCGGAAUUCCUUGUGUAGCGGUGAAAUGCGUAGAUAUAAGGAAGAACACCAGUGGCGAAGGCGGAUUACUGGACGAUAACUGACGGUGAGGCGCGAAAGCGUGGGGAGCAAACAGGAUUAGAUACCCCAGUAA
rnacentral:rRNA from 1 species